GACGAACGCUGGCGGCGUGCUUAACACAUGCAAGUCGAGCGGAAAGGCCCUUCGGGGUACUCGAGCGGCGAACGGGUGAGUAACACGUGAGUAACCUGCCCCAGACUUUGGGAUAACCCUCGGAAACGGGGGCUAAUACCUGAUACGACACAGCUUCGCAUGGGGUCUGUGUGGAAAGUUUUUCGGUUUGGGAUGGGCUCGCGGCCUAUCAGCUUGUUGGUGGGGUGCUGGCCUACCAAGGCGACGACGGGUAGCCGGCCUGAGAGGGCGACCGGCCACACUGGGACUGAGACACGGCCCAGACGCCUACGGGAGGCAGCAGUGGGGAAUAUUGCAAAAUGGGCGGAAGCCUGAUGCAGCGACGCCGCGUGAGGGAUGACGGCCUUCGGGUUGUAAACCUCUUUCAGCAGGGACGAAGCGUAAGUGACGGUACCUGCAGAAGAAGCGCCGGCCAACUACGUG
rnacentral:rRNA from 1 species